GACGAACGCUGGCGGCGUGCUUAACACAUGCAAGUCGAACGGAAAGGCCCUGCUCUUGUGGGGUGCUCGUGUGCCGAACGGGUGUGUAUCACGUGUGUAACCUGUCCUUGUCUUUGGGGUAACUUCAGGGAACUGGGGCUCAUAUCGGAUAUGAGCUCCUGCAGCAUGGUGGGGGUUGGAAAGAUUCGGCGGUUGGGGAUGGACUCGAGGCUUAUCAGCUUGUUGGUGGGGUAGUGGAUUACCAAGGCUCUGACGGGUAGCCGGCCUGAGAGGGUGACCGGCCACAAUGGGACUGAGAUAGGGCCAAGACGCCAACGGGAGGCAGCAGUGGGAAAUAUUGCGCAAUGGGCGGAAGCCUGAUACAACGACGCCGCGUGCGGGAUGACGGCCUUCGGGGUGUAAACCGCUUUCGACUGUGACGAAGCGUGAGUGACGGUAAUGGGUAAAGAAGCACCGGCUAACUACGUG
rnacentral:rRNA from 1 species